ACCUGCAUCGAAAGUGAUUGUGGCUCUAUAAGUUGCCUGGUCAUUGAUACUGCAGGGAGAGAAUGUUGUGAUGGUUUUUCCCGUGUUUGGCUGUCUGACUCUUGUACAUUCCAAACCCUGUAACCAUCACACA